CAGCAGCCGCGGUAAUACGAAGGGUGCAAGCGUUAAUCGGAAUUACUGGGCGUAAAGCGUGCGUAGGCGGUUUGUUAAGUCUGUUGUGAAAUCCCCGGGCUCAACCUGGGAAUGGCAAUGGAUACUGGCAAGCUAGAGUGUGUCAGAGGAUGGUGGAAUUCCCGGUGUAGCGGUGAAAUGCGUAGAGAUCGGGAGGAACAUCAGUGGCGAAGGCGGCCAUCUGGGGCAACACUGACGCUGAGGCACGAAAGCGUGGGGAGCAAACAGGAUUAGAUACCCCGGUAGUCCCUGUCUCUUAUAC
rnacentral:rRNA from 1 species